UUUCACUUACUCUGCAUAAAAGCUUAGUCAAGAUUAAGAGCACUUGAAGAGCAUAGGUGAUUCGUCAGGGUGUGAGAACUAUGAUUCAGUUCCCAUAAUCCGCAUGUGUCAUGGGAGGGAGCUGGUCGGAGGUGACUGAAUCAUGAGGACAGUUACCCACAUGCUGCUUUUCUCAUGAUGGCAAGAAGCUGUAGGGGGGGUGAAGAGGCUGCAAGUCUUCAAAAAUUCACAAAUUGGAUUAUCAAUUCUUAAGGAGUCGGCCAUUGUAGCAAACCUGCCUUGAGGCAUAGAGUUGAAAUGCCACUUAAAGCAAGAGUGAAGAAAAGCAUUCCUUUUGAGAGGUAGUAUUGCAUGGGGUCAAGAGCAUGAACUGUAUUAGCACACCGCCUGGGUUUGAAUUUCAGCUCCAGUGUGAACUAACUCUCUGGACUUAGGCAAGUUAUUUAAGCUCUCUAAUUCUUAGUUUCCUCAUCUGUAUAAUAUUGAUAAUAAAGUUAGCUUUGUUCUAGUGAAGAGAUGUAAAAUACUUAGAAGAGAGCCCGGUAUAUGCUAAGCACUAUGCAAUUAUUUGCUAUUAUUGGAAAAUAUUUAUUUGGUGCAUAUUAUAUGAUAAGAACUGUGCUGAAAAUUGGGGAUAAAAUGGGGAGGGAUUCAAAUUUCCUGUCCUAAAGACUCCUAUUCUAAUUAGGGCACUUAAAAUACAAGGUGGUAAAUGCUAAGAUAGAGGAGGAUAUAACAUGCCACAGAAGCUCAGGGGAGGAAUACUGAAAGCAAACAGAGAAGAUUUCUUACAAGAAGGGACAGCCUGAGACUCGCCAUAAUGCUCAAGAAGCGCUUGACCAACCUCUCUUCAUUCUGCCCCGACAGUCUCUAGUUACGCACUGUUCCACUCUGCUUCUAUGACACCAACUUUUUUUUUUUUUUUUAGAUUUCACAUGAGUGCGAUUAUUAUUUGUCCUGUGUCUGGCUUAUUUUACUUAACAUGAUGUGAUCCGAGUUUAUUCACGUUGUCACAGGGGAUAAGAUUUCAUUGUACCCCAUAUGUACGAUGUGUCAAUUAAAACAAAAUUUUUAAAGAAACUUCAGU